rnacentral:rRNA from 1 species
UGGGGAAUCUCGCGCAAUGGGCGAAAGCCUGACGCAGCAACGCCGCGUGGGGGAUGAAGGCUUUCGGGUUGUAAACCCCUUUCAGCAGGGACGAAUCAAGACGGUACCUGCAGAAGAAGCCCCGGCUAACUACGUGCCAGCAGCCGCGGUAACACGUAGGGGGCAAGCGUUGUCCGGAUUUAUUGGGCGUAAAGAGCUCGUAGGCGGCUGAGUAAGUCGGGUGUCAAAUCUUCAGGCUCAACCUGGAGCCCCACCCGAUACUGCUCUGGCUAGAGUCCGGUAGGGGAGCGUGGAAUUCCUGGUGUAGCGGUGAAAUGCGCAGAUAUCAGGAGGAACACCAGCGGCGAAGGCGGCGCUCUGGGCCGGAACUGACGCUGAGGAGCGAAAGCGUGGGUAGCAAACAG